rnacentral:rRNA from 1 species
GUAGGGGGCGAGCGUUGUCCGGAUUCAUUGGGCGUAAAGAGCUCGUAGGCGGCUUGGCAAGUCGGAUGUGAAAACUCCAGGCUCAACCUGGAGCCGCCAUUCGAUACUGCCAUGGCUAGAGUCCGGUAGGGGAGUGUGGAAUUCCCGGUGUAGCGGUGAAAUGCGCAGAUAUCGGGAGGAACACCGAUGGCGAAGGCAGCACUCUGGGCCGGCACUGACGCUGAGGAGCGAAAGCGUGGGGAGCGAACAGGAUUAGAUACCCUGGUAGUCCACGCCGUAAACGUUGGGCACUAGGUGUGGGGCCUUAUCAACGGGUUCCGUGCCGCAGCUAACGCAAUAAGUGCCCCGCCUGGGGAGUACGGCCGCAAGGCUA